rnacentral:rRNA from 1 species
GACAGAGGGUGCAAACGUUGUUCGGAAUUACUGGGCGUAAAGCGCGUGUAGGCGGCCCUGCAAGUCGGAUGUGAAAUCCCACGGCUCAACCGUGGAAGUGCAUUCGAAACUGCAGGGCUAGAGUCCUGGAGAGGAAGGUGGAAUGCUUGGUGUAGAGGUGAAAUUCGUAGAUAUCAAGCGGAACACCGGUGGCGAAGGCGGCCUGCUGGACAGUGACUGACGCUGAGACGCGAAAGCGUGGGGAGCAAACAGG